GGCGGCCCAAAGGAUCCAUAGAGACUGCGGCGCUCCAA
rnacentral:ribozyme from 1 species